UCGGCCGAUUAUCGAGGCCGGCCGGCGCACCCUGGUGGAUGCGGUGCAGCACUGGGAUGGUGCUGCGCUGUUCGAGCCGGCGCCGGCCGGGC
rnacentral:tRNA from 1 species